GACGAACCGUGCGAACGUUAUUCGGAAUCACUGGGCUUAAAGCGCGUGUAGGCGGGAGGGCACGUCCGUCGCUGAAAUCCCCCGGCUCAACCGGGGAACGGGCACGGAUACGACCUUCCUGGAGGGGCGUAGGGGGACCUGGAACUUCCGGUGGAGCGGUGAAAUGCGUUGAGAUCGGAAGGAACGCCCGUGGCGAAAGCGAGGUCCUGGACGCCUGCUGACGCUGAGACGCGAAAGCCAGGGGAGCGAACGGG
rnacentral:rRNA from 1 species